rnacentral:rRNA from 1 species
GACGAACGCUGGCGGCGUGCUUAACACAUGCAAGUCGAACGGUGAAGCGCCUUCCUUUUUGGUGGGUGUGGAUGAGUGGCGAACGGGUGAGUAACACGUGAGUAACCUGCCCCCUUCUUCUGGAUAACCGCAUGAAAGUGUGGCUAAUACGGGAUAUUCUGGGUCUGUCGCAUGAUGGGUCUGGGAAAGAUAUUGUUUCGGUGGGGGAUGGGCUCGCGGCCUAUCAGCUUGUUGGUGGGGUGAUGGCCUACCAAGGCGGUGACGGGUAGCCGGCCUGAGAGGGUGGACGGUCACACUGGGACUGAGACACGGCCCAGACUCCUACGGGAGGCAGCAGUGGGGAAUAGUGAACAAUGGGCGCGAGCCUGAUGCAGCGACGCCGCGUGAGGGAUGGAGGCCUUCGGGUUGUGAACCUCUUUCGCCAGUGAAGCAGGCCUGCCUCGUUUGUGGGUGGGUUGACGGUAGCUGGAGAAGAAGCGCCGGCUAACUACGUG